UUGGUGCAGGCAUGACUCAGCAAAUUUACAAGGCCUGAGAUUCCCUCUACCUCUGUGCGUCAAGCUCAGUGUAGGAUUUAUCUGAAAAUUGCCUCAGAAUGCUGCAAGACUACACAGAGUGCUGCCCUCCAGUCUGUCGUCUGUUCUGCAGCCACUCAGGGAAACUGAGCACCAAGGACAACAUUGCCUCCCUCUGCCCGCCCUCCCUUCUAAGAAGCCUUCCUGGAAGCCUGCAGAACACUCUAAUCAGCCAGAGCCUGGUCACAAGGCCACACCCGGCUCAAGGGAAAUGUGAACUGGCAUUGAGCUGAACACAGGGCCACCCCAGAAAUCGGCUUCUGCUAGUCGGAAAGAAGGGAGAAAAUUGGCUGUGUCUCUGGGCGCUCUGGCCCAGCUCACAGGCGCGUUCUCCCGGUGAACAACGGACCACAAGUUAUAUUUGCUAAGCCAGCUUCAGCUUCUGCACCAUAUUUGGUUUUGAGUUAUGGUCUCGCAUCGGCCUGGAACUUACCAAAUAGGCUAUGCUGGCUGCCCAGAAGACCCCAGGCUCUGCUUGGCUGUGAGGCCUUCCCAGCACUGGGAAUACAAGCAUACACCACCAUCCCGAGAACCCUCUGGGAAGCUGCGAGCCUUUGUUUGACCUGACCGCUGGCUGUAGUACUGGACCUUCCAUAGUCCAGUGGAACUAGGACACUUCGGAGUCAGGAUUUGCACUGUGAACGUCAUCUAUGGGUCUGCUUCUGGAGAACCCAACAGAGGCACAGAGGCCAGGGCAAGAACGUCCCAAGGAUGAGCCAUGGGAAUACUCUCCAUCUAGGGCCCAAACGCUCCUCCACUUCCUGCACUAUCACUUUACCAGGAAGUCCCUGGAGAAAACACACAGCGAGUGGUCCAGGCACCAAAGCAUCCCCAUCCC